rnacentral:rRNA from 1 species
UACGUAGGGGGCCAGCGUUGUCCGGAUUUACUGGGCGUAAAGCGUGCGCAGGCGGCUAUGCAAGACAGAUGUGAAAUCCCCGGGCUCAACCUGGGAACUGCAUUUGUGACUGCAUGGCUAGAGUACGGUAGAGGGGGAUGGAAUUCCGCGUGUAGCAGUGAAAUGCGUAGAUAUGCGGAGGAACACCGAUGGCGAAGGCAAUCCCCUGGACCUGUACUGACGCUCAUGCACGAAAGCGUGGGGAGCAAACAGG